UACGUAGGGCGCAAGCGUUAUCCGGAAUUAUUGGGCGUAAAGAGCUCGUAGGCGGUUUGUCGCGUCGGAUGUGAAAGCCCGGGGCUUAACCCCGGGUCUGCAUUCGAUACGGGCAGACUAGAGUGUGGUAGGGGAGAUCGGGAUUCCUGGUGUAGCGGUGAAAUGCGCAGAUAUCAGGAGGAAAACCGGUGGCGAAGGCGGCCUGCUGGGCAGUUUAGCUGACACUGAGGCGCGACAGCGUGGGGAGCAAACAGG
rnacentral:rRNA from 1 species